GAGUUUGAUCCUGGCUCAGGACGAACGCUGGCGGCGUGCCUAACACAUGCAAGUCGAACGAAGCUUUGAGGAGCUUGCUUUUUAAAGCUUAGUGGCGGACGGGUGAGUAACGCGUGAGCAACCUGCCUCUCAGAGGGGGAUAACGUUUUGAAAAGAACGCUAAUACCGCAUAAUAUAUCGGAACCGCAUGAUUCUGAUAUCAAAGGAGCAAUCCGCUGAGAGAUGGGCUCGCGUCCGAUUAGUUAGUUGGUGAGGUAACGGCUCACCAAGACUACGAUCGGUAGCCGGACUGAGAGGUUGAUCGGCCACAUUGGGACUGAGACACGGCCCAGACUCCUACGGGAGGCAGCAGUGGGGGAUAUUGCGCAAUGGGGGAAACCCUGACGCAGCAACGCCGCGUGAAGGAAGAAGGUCUUCGGAUUGUAAACUUCUUUUGUCAGGGACGAAGAAAGUGACGGUACCUGACGAAUAAGCUCCGGCUAACUACGUGCCAGCCGCCGCGGUAAUUC
rnacentral:rRNA from 1 species